CGGCGGCUCCUCUCCGCCGGCGGGGGAGGGGAAGCCGGACCUGGCCUCCUGGCGCUCAGCGCUCUGCCCGCCCCGCGCGCCUGCGGAGAGCUCGGAGCCGUCCGCGCCCGUCGGGCCGGCCCGGUGCGGCUCUAACGGGCUGCGGACAGUGCGGGCGGACGCGGGGCUGCGCGCUUAGCACGGUCACACGUGGGCGCCGGGGAGCGAGGCUGCUCCGAGCACGGGAUGCCCGCAGGGUCCGGCGGGCGUGGGGCGUGGGGCUGCCCUCGUGAGCUCUGUGCGUGGGCCGCGGGUGUGGGACCGUUCUUCGCGCCAGGGGGACCUGUGAUGUCAUCAGCGGAAGAACAAUUGUGCGAGCUUCCAACAAGCAGAAAGAGCCCAUUUUGUUACACCAUGUCCUGCAUCCCGCAGGAGGCAAUGAGUGGAGGGGUGCACAGCUCGUGGUGCAGCCACAGCCCCAUGCCACCCUUUGCUUCUCCCUGCAUAUCGUGGCUCAGGGCCACCUGGACUGCCUGGACUGCCCUUGCUGGUGGCUGUGCAGGUAACUGUGCUGCAGGAAAAGGUCUGAAAGCAGCAUCUGUCAUUCAGCUAUAGCAGUUGGACCUUGCUGCUCCUCGCUUCCAGAAGUACAGAGCAGGCUUUAGAUUUGUGAACAGUAUUACAUGAAGUCUCACUGUGGCUUGAUGAGGAAAUGCUAGAAGAGAAAAUGUGCACAAAGUACCUAAGCCAGCCCCUAAAUGCUCAGCGGCGAUCCCACAUGACCAACAGGCAGCCUGCACAACUGCGUGGCUUUGGUCAGGGCUCCAGUAAUGACAGCAAAUGCCCCUCAUGUCACUGUGCCUUUGCAGCAGGAGUUCUGCUCCCUUGCAUCAAGUAACACAGAAAGACUGUGGAGAAACAGAAGGAAACAUUUUGUUUGUCAUAUAUGUUGGUAUGUGAAGUUGCUGGUAUACUUGGCCCGUUUAAUACUUUUAAUGGGAUUUCUAUUCUGGAAGUGAGCAGCAAAGCAGAAUGCAAAUCCCAGUAUCUUCCAAUCAUUUGUUGUUUGUUGUUGUUUUUUGUUUUUAAUGUUUAAGAUCUUUCUCUGGCAAGAGAUUACAGGAUGGAUUUUAAUUUUGUGUCAGACUGGUGGUUUUGUUUAACUUUUUUUUCAAGAAUAAAAGAUGUCCAAACCUCUCA